CCUACGGGAGGCUGCAGUGGGGAAUAUUGCACAAUGGGCGCAAGCCUGAUGCAGCCAUGCCGCGUGUGUGAAGAAGGCCUUCGGGUUGUAAAGCACUUUCAGCGGGGAGGAAGGCGGUGAGGUUAAUAACCUCAUCGAUUGACGUUACCCGCAGAAGAAGCACCGGCUAACUCCGUGCCAGCAGCCGCGGUAAUACGGAGGGUGCAAGCGUUAAUCGGAAUUACUGGGCGUAAAGCGCACGCAGGCGGUCUGUCAAGUCGGAUGUGAAAUCCCCGGGCUCAACCUGGGAACUGCAUUCGAAACUGGCAGGCUAGAGUCUUGUAGGGGGGGGUAGAAUUCCAGGUGUAGCGGUGCAAUGCGUAGAGAUCUGGAGGAAUACCGGUGGCGAAGGCGGCCCCCUGGACAAAGACUGACGCGCAGGUGCGAAAGCGUGGGGAGCAAACAGGAUUAGAUAGCCUAGUAGGC
rnacentral:rRNA from 1 species